rnacentral:rRNA from 1 species
AUUGAACGCUGGCGGCAUGCCUUACACAUGCAGGUCGAACGGCAGCACGGGAGCAAUCCUGGUGGCGAGUGGCGAACGGGUGAGUAAAGUAUCGGAACGUGCCCAGUCGUGGGGGAUAACGUAGCGAAAGUUACGCUAAUACCGCAUACGAUCUAUGGAUGAAAGCGGGGGAUCGCAAGACCUCGCGCGAUUGGAGCGGCCGAUAUCAGAUUAGGUAGUUGGUGGGGUAAAGGCUCACCAAGCCGACGAUCUGUAGCUGGUCUGAGAGGACGACCAGCCACACUGGGACUGAGACACGGCCCAGACUCCUACGGGAGGCAGCAGUGGGGAAUUUUGGACAAUGGGCGAAAGCCUGAUCCAGCCAUGCCGCGUGCAGGAUGAAGGCCUACGGGUUGUAAACUGCUUUUGUACGGAACGAAAAGGUUUGGCCUAAUAAGCUGAGCUCAUGACGGUACCGUAAGAAUAAGCACCGGCUAACUACGUGCCAGCCGCCGCAGUAA